GCUUCCUGCAUCAUUGGUUUAUUGCAACCGGUAGUGAUAUGGUUGGAAGAGUAACUUCCAAAAGCAGAUGACAUUUUGGUAUAAUUUAUACAAAUAAUUAUCUAUACACAGACAGCAUCCUAUGCUCUUCUCAUGAAGGACAGAGAAAUGCCUUUUAUAUUAUGAACUACUAGUAAAGUGAGUAAUGACUAAGAGGAUGUCCUAGCAAACCUGCCCUAGGUAAUCUCAUACAGGUUUCAGAAUCAAAGUUGUAAAUUUCCUCUUAGUGCCUACAAAGUUUGGAAACUGCAGUUUUACAACAUAAGGCUUUGGGCCUUCUGUAUCAACAAUAAAGGAAGCCCAAUCCACAUUUUCUCUAAUUGUGAUUUGGAAGUCCUUGCUUGAAGUGAAUAUAGUAAGAUGUUCAUGCUGCCCUUGCUACUAUCGUUAAUUGUGCACAGUUCUCCCAUGAUCCUUCACCAGCUGC
rnacentral:lncRNA from 1 species